rnacentral:rRNA from 1 species
GCAUAUCAAUAAGCGGAGGAAAAGAAACCAACAGGGAUUGCCUCAGUAACGGCGAGUGAAGCGGCAACAGCUCAAAUUUGAAAUCUGGCUCUUUCAGGGUCCGAGUUGUAAUUUGUAGAAGAUGCUUUGGGUGUAGCUCCGGUCUAAGUUCCUUGGAACAGGACGUCAUAGAGGGUGAGAAUCCCGUAUGUGACUGGGUGCUUUCGCUCGUGUAAAGCUCUUUCGACGAGUCGAGUUGUUUGGGAAUGCAGCUCAAAAUGGGUGGUAAAUUUCAUCUAAAGCUAAAUAUUGGCCAGAGACCGAUAGCGCACAAGUAGAGUGAUCGAAAGAUGAAAAGCACUUUGGAAAGAGAGUUAAACAGUACGUGAAAUUGUUGAAAGGGAAGCGCUUGCAACCAGACUUGCGCGCUGUUGAUCAUCCGAGCUUUUGCCCGGUGCACUCGGCAGCGUUCAGGCCAGCAUCGGUUUUGGUGGGCGGAUAAAGGCCUUGGGAAUGUAGCUUCUUUCGGGGAGUGUUAUAGCCCUCGGUGCAAUGCGCCCUACCGGGACCGAGGACCGCGCUUCGGCUAGGAUGCUGG